UACAGAGGUCUCGAGCGUUAGGCGGAAUCACUGGGCUUAAAGCGUGUGUAGGCGGGGCGUUAAGUAUCUUGUGAAAUCCCACGGCUUAACCGUGGAACUGCUGGAUAUACUGGCGAUCUUGUGCAACCUAGGGGCGAGCGGAACAGAUGGUGGAGCGGUGAAAUGCGUAGAUAUCAUCUGGAACGCCAAUGGUGAAAACAGCUCGCUGGGGGUUUGCAGACGCUGAGACACGAAAGCCAGGGGAGCGAACGGG
rnacentral:rRNA from 1 species